UUUUCCCACCCCAUCCCCAUCCCUUCCCACCCUCCCCAUCCUGGUCCUGGCUUGCGACCGCACUUCUGUCCGCCGCUGUUUGGAUUCUUUACUCCGCUAUCGUCCUUCGGCCCAACGCUUCCCCAUCAUCGUCAGCCAAGACUGCGGGCACCGCGAAACGGCGGCCGUCAUCUCAUCCUACGGCGAUUCCAUCACCCACCUUCAUCCUCCCCACGGAUCCGAAGCUCCAUCCGUCCCGGAUGAACACCGCAAAUUCUUGGGUUACUACAAAAUCUCCCGUCAUUACCGGACGGCAGCCUUUGGUGCGUCUCCGCUUGGCACGACAACGGCAAGGAGCAGCUGGUGGACGCCGCUCGACCGGAGCUGCUGUACCGCACCGAUUUCUUCCCCGGUUUGGGUUGGCUGCUGACCGAACGCCUUUGGGACGAGCUGGAGCCCAAGUGGCCGCCCGCUUUUUGGGACGAUUGGAUGCGGCAACCCGAGCAGCGCCGCGGCCGGGCGUGCGUGAGGCCGGAGGUGUCCCGCACCGUCACGUUCGGCCGCAAGGGCGUCAGCCACGGCCAGUUCUUCGAGCAGCACCUGCGGCACAUGGCGCUCAACCGCCGCUUCGUGCCCUUCACCCGCAUGGACCUCGGCUACCUGCGGCGCGACGCCUUCGACCGCCGCUGGGCGGCGCAGCUGAGCGCCGCCCGCCCCGUGCGCCUGGACGAGCUGCGGGCCGGCGGCGGCGGCGGCGGCGGCGGGGCGCUGCGGCUGCGCUACGGAGGCAGGGACGCGUUCCGCGCCGCCGCCAAGGCCCUGGGGCUCAUGGACGACCUGAAGGCCGGCGUGCCCAGGGCCGCCUACCGCGGCGUCGUCACCUUCGUGCACCGCGGGCGCCGCGUCUACCUGGCGCCCGACGAGGGCUGGGCGGGCUACGACUCGUCGUGGGGCUGACGGGCUGCAAUGAAGUGGCGACCGAGCACGGGAUGCGUGCGCUGCUCAGGGCGCGGUGCGGGGCUGGCGCCGUGGGGGCCGCGCGGGGAGCCGGGCGAGACACGGGCGGAGCCGAGGCGAGACACAGAGAGCCGGUGCCAGCCGCAGAGGGAGCCCAAGGGAGCCACUUAGAGUGCCAGUGCCAGCCGCAUAGGGAGCCAGGGCAAGCCACUUAGAGUGCCAGUGCCAGCUGCAUAGGGAGCCAGUGCAAGCCACAUUGGGAGCUGAGGCAAGCCACAUAGAGUGCCAGUGCAAGCCACAAAGGGAGCCGGAGGAAGCCACACAGGGAGGCAAGGUGAGCCACAGAGGGAAUGCAAGCCACGUAGGGAGCUAGUGCCAGCUGCACAGGGAGCCAGUGCAAGCCACGUGGGGAGCCAGUAGGAAGCCUAUAGAGAGCCAGUGCAAGCCACAGAGGGAGUCAAUGCAAGCCACUCGAGGAGCCAAGGCGAGCUACAGAGGGAGUCAAUGCAAGCCACAUAGAGAGCCAAGGUGAGCCACAUAGCAAAUGCAAGCCACAUGCAGAGCCAGUGCCAGCCACAAAGGGAGCCGGUGCAAGCCACAUAGUGAGCCGAUUGGAACCCUAUAGAGAGCCAGUGCCAGCCACAUAGGGAGCCAAUGGGGACCACAUAGAGCGCCUGUGCAAGCCACAAAGGGAGCCAGGGGAGCCACGUAGGGAGCCAAGGCGAGCCACAUAGUGAAUGCAAGCCAAACAGAGAGCCAGUGCCAGCCACACAGGGAGCCUACGCAAGCCAGGGAGUCCAUGUGAGCCACGUGGAGAACCGCGGGAGGCGGAAAGGGAGCCAGUGCGUGCCAAAAAGUGAGCCGCUACAAGGCGGACGGGGAGCCGAGGCGUGCCAGAAAGUGAGCCAUUGGCAGCCGAGGGGCGGCUGGACGAGAUGCGGGCCGGCGGCGGCGGCGGGGGGAGCGGGGCGCUGCGGCUGCGGGACGGAGGCAGGGUGGGGGGGGUGGGUGCCACGGGCUGCAAUGCAGUGCAAUGAGGUGCAAUGAGAAACGGAGCCGAGCAGAGGGGAGCGGCGGGGCGAACCGCACGCACGGGGACACGUGGGGCCACGGCCAGACGGAGCGCUGCGAGCCACGUGGAUACCAUGUGCGAACCGGAAGGGGAGCCUGGGCAAAGCGGAAGGAGAGCCUGGGCGAACCGGAAGGGGAGCCUGGGCAAAGCGGAAAGGGAGCCUGG
ensembl:lncRNA